CACAAUCGAAGCACCAACUCUAGAUUUUUCUUAAUCUUUUGAAGAAUCAAAGCAUGGGGUUUAUUUUCUUGAUGGAUUAGAGGCUUGUAAUUGGAUUGGAGGAAGGCAUCUCUCCACCUCUUGGAAAUUAAUUUGUAGAGUUUCAAAUCUACACUUUUGCUAUUUUUGGAGAUUCAUAGACUUUUGUGUGGCUCGCCUCAACUUGAAAGACUAUAAUUUUUUUGAAGGAUCACAGGUGGGCAUCUUGUGGUUGAGGUUUUGCUUAGGGUCAUUCUAGGAUGCAAGCUUACCCUUUUUUUUAUGAAGGAGGUUGAUUGUAAAUAUUGCUUAUGAAGUUGGAUGUAUUGAUGGAUUCGUGAUUAGUAUGUAUUAUAUUUUUUUUGGGAGGAAAUGCUUGGGAACUAUCUUGUAGCAUGAUAAUACUUUUUUGUCUUUGAAUAGAUCAUCUCAUAUAUGUCAGGCAAUUGAAAGGUCUUAUGCACCUUUGGUGAUGUGGUGAUGUGAUGUAUGAAUUAUACAGGAAUUGUGGUGUAAAGGUGCUAUAGCGUUUGAGGUGCACCCUCUUGGCAGGGUUUUGCCUUGC